rnacentral:rRNA from 1 species
UUGGUUAAGUUAGAAAGGGCGCACGGUGGAUGCCUUGGCACUAGGAGCCGAAGAAGGACGGGACUAACACCGAUAUGCUUUGGGGAGCUGUACGUAAGCGUUGAUCCAGAGAUUUCCGAAUGGGGGAACCCACUAUCUUUAGUCGGAUAGUAUCCUUACGUGAAUACAUAGCGUGAGGAAGGCAGACCCAGGGAACUGAAACAUCUAAGUACCUGGAGGAAGAGAAAGAAAAAUCGAUUUCCUGAGUAGCGGCGAGCGAAACGGAAAGAGCCCAAACCAAGAAGCUUGCUUCUUGGGGUUGUAGGACACUCUAUACGGAGUUACAAAAGAAAGUUAUAAAUGAAGCGGUCUGGAAAGGCCCGCCAAAGACGGUAACAGCCCGGUAGUUGAAAUGGCUUUCCCUCCAGAGUGGAUCCUGAGUACGGCGGAACACGUGAAAUUCCGUCGGAAUCCGGGAGGACCAUCUCCCAAGGCUAAAUACUCCCUAGUGACCGAUAGUGAACCAGUACCGUGAGGGAAAGGUGAAAAGCACCCCGGAAGGGGAGUGAAACAGUUCCUGAAACCGUGUGCCUACAAGUAGUUAGAGCCCGUUAAUGGGUGAUAGCGUGCCUUUUGUAGAAUGAACCGGCGAGUUACGAUUUGUUGCAAGGUUAAGCGGAAAAAGCGGAGCCGUAGCGAAAGCGAGUCUGAAUAGGGCGCAUAAGUAACAGGUCGUAGACCCGAAACCAGGUGAUCUACCCAUGUCCAGGAUGAAGGUAAGGUAAUACUUACUGGAGGUCCGAACCCACGCACGUUGAAAAGUGCGGGGAUGAGGUGUGGGUAGCGGAGAAAUUCCAAUCGAACUUGGAGAUAGCUGGUUCUCUCCGAAAUAGCUUUAGGGCUAGCCUCGAGGUAAAGAGUCAUGGAGGUAGAGCACUGUUUGGACUAGGGGCCCUUCUCGGGUUACCGAAUUCAGAUAAACUCCGAAUGCCAUGUACUUAUACUCGGGAGUCAGACUGCGAGUGAUAAGAUCCGUAGUCGAAAGGGAAACAGCCCAGACCACCAGUUAAGGUCCCCAAAUAUAUGUUAAGUGGAAAAGGAUGUGGGGUUGCUUAGACAACCAGGAUGUUGGCUUAGAAGCAGCCACCAUUGAAAGAGUGCGUAAUAGCUCACUGGUCGAGUGACCCCGCGCCGAAAAUGUACCGGGGCUAAACAUAUUACCGAAACUGUGGAUGAACCUCUUUAGAGGUUCGUGGUAGGAGAGCGUUCUAAGGGCGGUGAAGUCAGACCGGAAGGACUGGUGGAGCGCUUAGAAGUGAGAAUGCCGGUAUGAGUAGCGAAAGAAGGGUGAGAAUCCCUUCCACCGAAUAUCUAAGGUUUCCUGAGGAAGGCUCGUCCGCUCAGGGUUAGUCGGGACCUAAGCCGAGGCCGAUAGGCGUAGGCGAUGGACAACAGGUAGAGAUUCCUGUACCAGUGCUAAUUGUUUAACCGAUGGGGUGACACAGAAGGAUAGGGAAUCGCACGAAUGGAAAUGUGCGUCCAAGCAGUGAGUGUGAGAAGUAGGCAAAUCCGCUUCUCGCGAAGCAUGAGCUGUGAUGGGGAAGGAAAUUAAGUACGGAAGUUCCUGAUUUCACGCUGUCAAGAAAAGCCUCUAGGAAGAGUAGUACUGCCCGUACCGCAAACCGACACAGGUAGAUGAGGAGAGAAUCCUAAGGUGAGCGAGAGAACUCUCGUUAAGGAACUCGGCAAAAUGACCCCGUAACUUCGGGAGAAGGGGUGCUCUAUUAGGGUGCAAGCCCGAGAGAGCCGCAGUGAAUAGGCCCAGGCGACUGUUUAGCAAAAACACAGGUCUCUGCAAAACCGUAAGGUGACGUAUAGGGGCUGACGCCUGCCCGGUGCUGGAAGGUUAAGAGGAGUGCUUAGCUUCGGCGAAGGUACGAAUUGAAGCCCCAGUAAACGGCGGCCGUAACUAUAACGGUCCUAAGGUAGCGAAAUUCCUUGUCGGGUAAGUUCCGACCCGCACGAAAGGCGCAACGAUCUGGGCACUGUCUCAACGAGAGACUCGGUGAAAUUAUAGUACCUGUGAAGAUGCAGGUUACCCGCGACAGGACGGAAAGACCCCGUGGAGCUUUACUGCAACCUGAUAUGGAAUGUUUGUACCGCUUGUACAGGAUAGGUAGGAGCCGAAGAGACGUGUGCGCUAGCAUACGAGGAGGCAAUGGUGGGAUACUACCCUGGCUGUAUGACCA